AUUUGCAAAUGUUUCCUAUGAGGAAAUUUCGGAACUUAACUUAAGUGCAGUUCCCAAGUCAACGCAAUAUGCAACUAAGUAUGAUGUUAAAAUUUUAAAGACCUCAAAAGCACUGUAGACCCGUCGUGAGAGUUAAAUUCAGUGAGCGAGGAUUUUUAGCACAUUGAUUGGAUAUGCUAUUCCGGAUUGACAUGGUUCUUGAUGGCAUCUAAUGUGAGCGGGCUUCAAGAACAUGACAGAAGUCAUCGCCCCAAGAAAGUCCAAGUCACCAUUUUGGCUUCUGAGUGGGGAUCCAGUAAAGGAGGGCUUUCCACCAUAAACAGAGAGUUCG